rnacentral:rRNA from 1 species
CAAAUAGAUAAGAGCACAUGACGGAUGCCUUGGUUCAAGGAGGCGAUGAAAGACGUGAUACGCUGCGAUAAGCCCAGACGAGCUGCGAAUAAGCUUUGACUCUGGGAUUUCUGAAUGGGGUAACCCACCGCUUUAUGCGGUAUGUUUGGCUGAAUACAUAGGCCAAUCAAGCGAACGUAGGGAAGUGAAACAUCUCAGUACCUACAGGAAAAGACAUCAACCGAGAUUCCCCUAGUAGUGGCGAGCGAACGGGGAGAAGGCCAGUGGAGUUAGCAGUAAAAGCAGAACGGUUUGGAAAAGCCGGCCAAAGUGGGUGAUAGCCCCGUAUGCGGUGAUUGCUGUUAACUUCCUUGAGUAGGGCGGGCCACGUGAAAGCCCGUUUGAAUAUGGGGGGACCAUCCUCCAAGCCUAAAUACUACCUUGAGACCGAUAGUGAACUAGUACCGCGAGGGAAAGGUGAAAAGCACCCCGAACAGGGGGAUGAAACAGGUCCUGAAAUUGUGUGCUUACAAGCAGUCGGAGGGGGGUAACCCCUGACGGCGUACCUUUUGUAUAAUGGGUCAGCGAGUGAUUGCAGCGUGCAAGCUUAAGCCGUCAGGCGUAGGCGCAGCGAAAGCGAGUGUUAAGAGCGCGUUAAGUACGUUGCAUUCGACCCGAAACUAAGUGAUCUAACCAUGCGCAGGUUGAAGGGUGGGUAACACCACCUGGAGGACCGAACCGGUAACCGUUGAAAAGGUUUCGGAUGACGUGUGGUUAGGGGUGAAAGGCCAAUCAAACUUAGUGAUAGCUGGUUCUCCGCGAAAACUAUAGAGGUAGUACCUUGGACUUAAGACGUAGAGGGGUAAAGCACUGGAAAGGCUAGGGGCACAUACCGUGUUACCAAACCUUACCAAACUCUGAAUACUCUAUGUUAUAUCCAGGAGACAGACAGUGGGUGCUAACGUCCAUUGUCGAGAGGGCAACAACCCAGACCACCGAUUAAGGUCCCUAAUUUACAGUUAAGUGUAUAAGCAGGUGCCAUUGCUUUAACAACCAGGAUGUUGGCUUAGAAGCAGCCAUCAUUUAAAGAAAGCGUAACAGCUCACUGGUCGAGCGAUGGUGCGGCGAAAAUGUGCGGGGCUAAAACUGUAAACCGAAGUCGUGGGCAGGCUAUUGUUUCUGUUCUUGUUCAAAGGUUUGGUUGGCAUUUCCCGGCGGCACUCGCGUAGCGGGCCGGCGGAAAAUGCCAAAGCAAAAACCUGUAACAAAGCAAGGGUAGAAACAAUAGCCUGCGGUAGCGGAGCGUUCUGUAAGCCUGUGAAGGUGUCCUGUCAGGGAUGCUGGAGGUAUCAGAAGUGAGAAUGCUGACUUGAGUAGCGAUUAGACGGGUGAGAAACCCGUCCGCCGAAAUCCCAAGGGUUCCUGUCCCAUGUUAAUCAGGGCAGGGUGAGCCGGUACCUAAGGUGAGGCCGAAAGGCGUAGCCGAUGGCAAUCUGGCAAAUAUUCCAGAGCUGGUGGUGUGUGACGGAUCUCGUAAAUUGUCUGGCCUUAACGGAUUGGCCGGGCCGUGAAGAGGUUCCAGGAAAGAGCACCCACAUUAAGCCGUACCCGAAACCGACACAGGUGGGAAGGUAGAGUAUACCAAGGCGUUGAGAGAACUAUGGUUAAGGAACUCGGCAAAUUACACGCGUAACUUCGGGAUAAGCGUGCCCGUCAGCCAGGCAACUGGUCGGCGGGGGCACAUAAGAGGGGGUGGCGACUGUUUAUCAAAAACACAGGGCUCUGCUAAAUCACAAGAUGAUGUAUAGGGUCUGACGCCUGCCCGGUGCUGGAAGGUUAAGAAAAGUCGUGAAAGCGAUGGAUUGAAGCCCCAG